rnacentral:rRNA from 1 species
AGAGUUUGAUCAUGGCUCAGAACGAACGCUGGUGGCAGGCUUAACACAUGCAAGUCGAACGGGCGUAGCAAUACGUCAGUGGCAGACGGGUGAGUAACACGUGGGAACCUUCCUAGGGGUACGGAACAACUCAGGGAAACUUGAGCUAAUACCGUAUACGUCCGUGAGGAGAAAGAUUUAUCGCCCUUAGACGGGCCCGCGUCGGAUUAGCUAGUUGGUGGGGUAACGGCCUACCAAGGCGACGAUCCGUAGCUGAUCUGAGAGGAUGAUCAGCCACACUGGGACUGAGACACGGCCCAGACUCCUACGGGAGGCAGCAGUGGGGAAUCUUGGACAAUGGGCGCAAGCCUGAUCCAGCCAUGCCGCGUGAGUGAAGAAGGCCUUCGGGUUGUAAAGCUCUUUUGUCAGGGACGAUAAUGACGGUACCUGAAGAAUAAGCCCCGGCAAACUUCGUG